GACUGAGGUCAGGGAGGGCAGUUUGGGGUGGGAAAAGGGAUUUCCAGGAGUGGGAAAACCCAGAUCCCAGGGCACCGACAGCUCCGGGGUGUUCAUCCCUAUCACCAUCAUCCUCAUCCCCACCUGGGAAUCCACAUUUCAGAGCCUUUUCUCCUCCAAAUCCACCUUAUUCCCUCCAAACCCAUUUUCCUCCCUAUAAUUCCGUAUUUUUCCCUACGGUCCCGCUCUUUACCCUCCAAUUUCACUUUUUCCCCCUUCCAACCCCACUUUUCCCUACAAUUCCCCUUUUCCCCACGGUCGCGGUGCCGAUCCCGAUUCCCAAGGCAGAUUCCCUGUCCCUGUCGCUGUCGCUGUCGCCAGCCCGGUGCCGCCGCCCCUCCCCUCCCGUCCGUCUGUCCCGCGGUAAUCCCGGGAUUAGCGGCGCUCGUUCUGCACCGUCAGGAUUCUCCUGCCCGGAGCCGCCGGGGCCGGGCCCUGCCCCGAUCCCCGGGAUCGCCCCGGGAUCCUCUCGGGAUCCUCUCGGGAGCGGCACCGGCGCCGGCUGUCCUGAGCCGCCAUGGCCACCAAGGUGCCGAUCUACCUGAAGAGGGGCAGCCGCAAGGGCAAGAAGGAGAAGCUGCGGGACAUCCUUUCCUCGGACAUGAUCAGCCCUCCGCUGGGCGACUUCCGCCACACCAUCCACGUGGGCAGCGGCGGCGAGGGCGACACGUUCGGGGACAUCUCCUUCCUGCAGGGCAAGUUCCACCUGCUGCCCCGCGGCGCCGACGGGGACCGCGCUGCCGCCG
rnacentral:lncRNA from 1 species